rnacentral:rRNA from 1 species
UACAGAGAAGGCAAGCGUUGUUCGGAAUUACUGGGCGUAAAGGGCGCGUAGGCGGCCAACUAAGUCGGACGUGAAAUCCCCAAACUCAACCCGGGAACUGCGUCCAAUACUGAAUAGCUUGAAUCCGGGAGAGGGAUGUGGAAUUCCAGGUGUAGCGGUGAAAUGCGUAGAUAUCUGGAGAAACACCGGUGGCGAAGGCGGCAUCCUGGACCGGUAUUGACGCUGAGGCGCGAAAGCCAGGGGAGCAAACGGG